GGGCGGGGGGGGGGAGCGAGGCUCCGGCCACCCCGCCCCACCUCGCGAGAUGCGGGGACCCCGCCGGACGGAGGGGGCGGAGUGCGACCGCCGGUAGGCGAGGCCCGGGCGGCCUAGAGAUGGUUCCUCCGGGUCUUCGACCAGGGCCAGGGAUGUGAAUGGAUGCGCGCCUCUGUUCAAGGCUGCACCUGUCCUGGUCGCCUCUAUACUGUCCACCCUCACGGGCUUGGAAGCACCUCUGCAGACCCACAAGGUCCAAGGCACUGGAGGAAGACCAGGACCCUGCUCUCUGUGUGGUAGACCGAUUUAAACAAGCAAGCAAGAUCUGUGAGCAAAAUAACUUUUACCUGGGAUCAAGAGGAGAUUAAUCUUGCCAAAAGAGCAUACUAUUUUAUGCUCUGAAUAAAGGAUGAAUGACAUAUUUUGCUGAAUCAGUUAAAAGACAAAAUUAAAAGCUGAUUUGCAAGAAAGAGCACCUAUUCAGCUCUUCUCUCCACUCCUGCAAUUGAAAGGGGCUGACCCUACAACAACAGUUCCCAGGCUCCUUUGCCAAGUGGGUGCUGCCAGUGGAAAACUCUGGGAUGACUGAGGGUGGGAGGAGCCGGAGUGUCUGCGUUGAGGUGGCUCCACCUCUGUGGUUCUGGUCCUGUCCUGGACUCUGUUAACACCGCCUCCUGCCCUAGGGCCUCCAGCCCUAGGGAUGAGAGCAGCUCCCUGCUCUUACUAAGCUCUAGGUUGCCUCACUGUCCUUUGUUUGGCUUUUUGGUUUUCCCAAUAGCUGUCUAACUAGGUCCCCAUACCUGGUAUGUUUUCCUGAGUGGAUCUUGGCUGUUACAUGGAGAUAUCAGAAAAUGGGAGUUGGAGGAGAGAGAACAUUUGAGCACUAGGCCAACACUACUUGACUUGGUAGACUACCUUGAAGUCAAGGCACAUCAGGGAAAGUAAUGGAGACCAGGAGGCAUCUAAUAGCACUUUCCUUUGAAAGCUGAUGUCCUCCACUCUGGUGGGAAAGUUGUGUAAAUAGAGAAAAGGGCAGGUUACUGAGGACAACCCAGCUCCCUGCAUGGCAGCGUUUGAUUCUCUCUGGUUGUCAGUAAGUCACAAACAAGUCAGUGUUAUUGUGCAGCUGCCUACGAUGGAGGUCAGAGGAUUCGUCCCACAACAGAAACCUCUUCUCUGGCAACAACUUGUUUUGGCUGCAUCCCUCACCUGUCUGGGGUGGGGCAGUUACUGAAUUGUCACAGUUGGUGGUUGGGGCCUAUUGUCAAAUGUCAAUAUUUUCACAGUCAUCCCACACUGCUGAGCUAUAGCUCGCCUUGGCAUCUGACCCUUGGCCCAGGAGGACAGGCAAUUCUUUCAUACACAGUGGGCAAAGACAAGGGAGACUGUCUUUUCCCCUCAAAGACUGUUCACGUAGGGGGCCAGUUCACUCUGAAUAAGGCCCUUUCAAAUGGAGCAAGAACAGAAUUCUGGGACAGUUUACCAAGUGUGAAUUUUGCAGGCUGGUUCUGUAAUGAGAUGUAAGCCUUAACAUCCAAAACAAAGAAAAUGUACUUUUUCAGAAUAUCGUAUGAGUGUUUGUUAAAGUCCAUCACCUUUCAGCUGUCAGAUGAUCAGCAUUGUACUGGGCCUCCCCGGUAGACGAUCCUGAAGCAGAGUGCAGGGUAGGUGUCUCUGGUUUCUCUGGAGGUUGAAUCUGGAACUGGGGUGUGCCCCUUGGGGAGCUGUGGAAUUGGUGUUGGGGGAGUUGUCCAAGUUGAAAGCACUCUCCGGAAAGGAAUGCUUCUCCACCUUUCACAAGCUGCUGGAGGCGGGGUGGGUGGGGCUUUUGGCUGAGACUAGAGGCCCCAUUGUCUGCCUGGAGUGAGGAGAGAGUGACCCAAGACUCUUCUGGCUGCCAUGGCAACCAAGGAAAGCAACUGGUGGGUAAUUGCUCCUCGUACAAGGUGGGCACACACGCUCAUUCUCUGAGGGUCUAAAAGGUGCAGCCACAAGCAUCCCAGACCCUUACAAAUGUGCAACACUUGUCCUCUUGUUCCUGGGUUGAAAAGCGAAGCCUGAUUCUUUUAAUAUGCCUCAUCCACUUUAAUUGUCUUCAUCUAUUCCUAUAGGAACCUAGUGCCUGGAAACCCUUGUUCAGUAAAGAUCCUUAGCUCAUGUGUUAACAAAUUUCUAUGGUUAGGAAAAGGUCAGGAAAAGGCUUUAUUUUUUAGCUCUAAUUUUUUUAAAUUACAAGUGGGAUUCUUUAAAUAAUGAUUGAUGCUGGAAAAAGACUUAUUGUUUACAAUUCCUUUUCUUCCUCCUAAGAAGGCGGUGCCUAGUAACCAGAGGAUCCUUGGUUUGCUGAGUGCGAAUGCAGCUUCCCUGUAACAAUGGCCUUUCCUGCCCAGGAGGAUGGAGUGAAGAGAUAGAUAUGAGACAGCAAGAUUGGAGAGGCGUGCAGAGGAGGCUGUGAUUCAGGGGAGGAGACACAGCGAUGCCAGAGGCCCUGGACCACCCUGGACCAGGUGGAAAAGGCUGAGCCAAACAAGGCUGAUAUCUGCAUGGGGAGACUGAUGGCGACCCUAAGUCAGUGAGUAGGUGGUUUGUUUGGUAGAAAAGGUAGGUUUAAUAAGAUGAGUUGGAGUAAAGUACUGCGCACUAGACAAUGGAAAUCAUGACUUUUGUUCCCCCUAAAAAAUCUAGACUCUAGAAAUUUUAGACUCUGGAGUAAAAUAUCCGUAUUUCUCGAUUGUACAAGGGAGCCUGUUUUCCUUUGGAAAGUCAAAGUACUAUCCUGUCCUGAGAUGGAGGUGGGAGGGGGCAGCACCUACCUCUGGGGUUCAGCCACAUCUUGGUUCUGUAAAAGUGUUAUAUACAGACUAGAGGCCUGGUGCAUGAGUAUGUGCAUGGGUGGGGUCCCUCGGGGUGGCCUACGGGGAUCAAACUCCAGCUCGUGCCCCCAGGCUCGCAGCCUCAGUUCACACCCCCAGCCUCCCAGCCCCGGAGCCCUGCCUGGCACCCUCAGUGGCCUGGCACCGUCCCCUCAUCUGCUCCACCAUCCCCUCACCUGCUCCACCAUCCUGCCUGCAGGGCCAUCCAUUGGGGCGGGGGAUGGGGGGUGGGCGGACUCCCCCUGCCCGGCUUCCUCAGCACCUGGGAACCAGGUGGCGGUCCUGCCCCCUACCACCACCGCUGCUCACUGUCUGUGGGAUGAUUGGCGGAUCAAUCACCUUGCACCCACCUUGGCCUGGCUCCGCCUGCUCGCCUGCUUCACCAUCCUGCCGCGGUCCCAUGAUCGUUGGGGCCCAAGGGGGCCCAUUGGGGCCCGCAGCGCCUAUACUGCCACCCGCUGCCAGCGCCUCAUCUCCGACGUCUGCCAUGUUCCACACUGCCCCCUGGUGGCCAGCGCACAUCAUAGUGAG